rnacentral:rRNA from 1 species
UACGUAGGGACCGAGCGUUGUCCGGAUUCAUUGGGCGUAAAGAGCUCGUAGGCGGCUGUUCAAGUCGAACGUGAAAACUCGGAGCUCAACUCCGAGCCUGCGUUCGAUACUGGACGGCUAGAGUCUGGUAGGGGGAUCUGGAAUUCCUGGUGUAGCGGUGGAAUGCGCAGAUAUCAGGAGGAACACCGGUGGCGAAGGCAGCACUCUGGGACGUGACUGACGCUGAGACGCGAAAGCGUGGGGAGCAAACAGG